UCUGUGUGUGUAUAUGUCCAAGUUCAAUUAAAAUUAUUCUGCGCAUGCGUAGAAUUUAAAAACAAGAUGGCGGAGCCAACAGCACCGACUGGGUAACCGUUUCGGGGGUGUGGCAUACCACUACCAGUUUGGCCAAACUGGGCCAAACUCAUAGUAACCCAUCUCUGCCUGGCAUGUAUGCCUACAUGGGGUGUGGGCCUAAGAUUACUAGUUUACAGUCUAGCUAGUGACAAUUAAUUACAAAUAUCUAACAAAACUGAACCCUACUUUAUUCACCAGAUAGGACCAGAUUAUUAUGGUACUUUUGUAUAUUUCAAUCUUUUAUAUUGAAGUACAUACUAAUGGAUGCAUCCGCAGCAAACUACUAUGACAUCAUAAAAAGGACACUGUGUUGAGAUCAUCAUGUAUGGUGCAGUAAAGCUCUUGCGUCCUCAGAAGGGAAGAAAAUAUGCCAAUCAAGGCAAUGCAUGAUGACAUUUUCAUGCCUGUUUUGUCAUUUCCACCUCUGGGACCAGCCUCCCCGCAGAUGCCCAUCUAUACUGUCCUUUUUCCACUCAUUGUACCAUUUCUGUUUCUGUAAUUUGAAGGUUGCACCAAUGUUCAGUUUGUAGAAGAUCCUUGAGCUCUGUCUCUCGUUUCUGCAAGGAUGAUCUGAUCUGUUCCAGAUUGGUUUUAACUUCCAACAGAAAUUUCUUUUCUGGUAAAUCAUCUUGUGCGUCUUCGAUAUCCACCUGAGUGAUGCCAAGAAGUUUUGAUAUAUUGCCUCAAAAAUGGAAAAUGGAAUCAGUCAUCUCGCCUAGCAGUUAUCAAGGAAACCAUGACCACUGAUGGUGGCAUUGACUGUGGAUUUGGAAUGAGGUCAGCUCUUGUGUGCUACUCUGCCCCAUCAAACUUGAACAUAUACAGUGGAAAUCUAGACAUUUUAUUUCCUUAACAAGGAGACUUUUCAAGAAAUAAAGAGCAAAAGUACAGGGAUAUAGCACUGCCAAUCAGUAAGAAUGCAGAAGAAGACAAGAAACAAUUCAUAAAUCAUGCAUGUGAUAUGUAUGUAGUUGCCUACCUUUUAUUCAAGAUGACUGCAUUUUGCUUCUUACCUUUCUUGUGUCUUGCCAGCAUAGCUUUUCUUUUCCUACCAUUUCUUGACAAGCUUCCAGAGAAGAUCUCAGGUGCUUAAUUUUGUCACUGUAUUGGGUUUUCACUGCCAUUACAGCUUGCUCCUAUCAACAGAUUAUGGUGAGGAAAAUAAUCUUUAAUGACAGCUAUAGGGGGAGAAAAUAAUCCUCUGAAUUUAAACAUCUGGAUUAUGCUGCUUCUUUUUUUGUAAUAUGCAUUUGAUAACAACCUGACUUUCUAUAGUAGUUUACUUGAUUGGGGAUACACCAGGAAAUCAGGGAUUCAAAACUUUGACCUUUACAUAGUUGCCUACAUUAUCAAAAGAUUUUGACAAGUAUCACAGGACCAAGAAUGGGAAAACAAUUUAAAUAAAUCAAUAAAUGGCCCAAGUCACAUAA